ensembl:lincRNA
CAAACAGCCCUCUUAGAACAUCUAGAAGCGGCUCUUCUUGCCUGUGUUUCUGCAAGAGUCAGAAACCACUUGCUAAUAGCUUAAUUCCAUUUCUCUGCAGACGGGCCGAUCCGAUUGCAGGAGAGGGAGUAUGUGGUCUGCUGGGGCCUGGAAGCCGGGGCGGCCCGCAUUCCCUGACCCCGUGGAACUACUGACUCACUCUGUAACCCAGGGUGACGUCGUGAACCCCAGAGGGCUUGCCGUCCACCCAGCUGGAAAAUUUGGACUGUUAUUAGUAUCCAGAAAAGGAGCAAUCCGCACUACGGGAGGGAGAAGAGAUGAGUCCAACAGGAAAGCUUCUCGGAAAACACAAUGGUAUGUCAGGUUUUGAGGGGAUAUGUUGAAAUUCACCAAACGUGGCGGUCAGAGCAUUCUAGGCAACUAGCAGAACGGCAUGGAGGCAGACAACAGGACUUCAAAGGUAUUCUGCAGAGUUCUGUGUGGCUGGCCAGCAGGGCAGAAGGGGGCAUGUGGGACAGUAGCUGGGACUGGGACGGGCCGAUCGUCUUGAGUCUGGUAUGCAUGUGAAUCACGCUUUCAGUUCCAGGGCUCCUUGUCUCCAGAGACCCAGAGACUCUGCUGCCCCUUGUUGGCUUUCCCACCAGUUUGCCCUUUGAGAUCUGGUUUCCCCUAUGACUGGCUCAACAGGGUAACAAUAUUCACCUAGCUCCUAGCCACUAAUGAAUGAGUUUUACACGUAGCAGUCUGUGAAUGAGUCCCUAGUCUCUAUACCACUCCCCUUGGUUUAUAAGGACUAUCCCCUGACUUCCACCCCAACCCUUGUCAUGCAGGUACCAUGCUAUAUCUUGUCUGGGUGACAUUCCUUCCUUUUUACCCAUCUAUUACCUGUCCAACUUCUAAGACUCAAAUCAAGAAUUUCUUUCCAUCUCUAUUCUUAGAACAAUUCAUCACCAAAAAAUGGACAGGUUCCCCUAAGUUAAUUUAUAAAUACAAAUACCUAAAACAAAUACCAUAUACCAAAAAGUUUUUUCACAAUGGAGCUACAUAAGUUGAUAGUAAAAUUAGAAAAACGAAAUAAGAAAAGAUAUAAGAGGAUUAGGCUAUUAAAACAUAUUAUAAAUCCUCUAUAAUUCAAACAGUAUGGUACUGCUGUGUAAACAGACAGUUAAAUGAGAAAGGAAUAGAAAAAAAAAAAACUAGACCCAAGUACCC